rnacentral:rRNA from 1 species
UACGUAGGGGCUAGCGUUGUCCGGAAUCAUUGGGCGUAAAGCGCGCGUAGGCGGCCCGGUAAGUCCGCUGUGAAAGUCAAAGGCUCAACCUUUGAAUGUCAGCGGAUACUGCCGGGCUAGAGUCCGGAAGAGGCGAGUGGAAUCCUGGUGUAGCGGUGGAAUGCGCAGAUAUCAGGAGGAACACCAACGGCGAAGGCAGCUCGCUGGGACGGUACUGACGCUGAGGCGCGAAAGCGUGGGGAGCAAACAGG